rnacentral:rRNA from 1 species
GACGAACCGUGCGAACGUUAUUCGGAAUCACUGGGCUUAAAGCGCGUGUAGGCGGGCCGGCACGUCGACGGCUGAAAGCCCCGGCUCAACCGGGGAAGGGCCUCGAUACGACCGGCCUGGAGGGGGGGGUAGGGGAGCCGGAACUCACGGUGGAGCGGGUGGAAUGCGCAGAUAUCAGGAGGAACACCGGUGGCGAAGCGGCCCGCUGGGCAGGAAGGGGUGGGUAACCACCCCGGCUGACACUGAGGCGCGACAGCGUGGGAGCAACAGGAUAGAAACC